CUCAGUCAGUCCUCAUUCCUCCGCUACUGACAAGGCCUUGCAACAGGAUCUCUACAAAAUGGAGCUGAUCAUUAAAUGGCCUCAGGACAGGAUCUCUGCAGAAUGGAUCUGGACAUUAAAUGGUGGAAGAAGAAGUCUCUGAGCUGGGAACCUCCUCAGAUCCUCUGCUGUCUCAGAGACAUGAAGCAACAUGUGAAGCUGAACAGACUGCCCAACACAUA